rnacentral:tRNA from 1 species
GGGGUUGUGGCUCAGUGGUAGAGCAUUUGCCUAGCAUGCAUGAGGCACUGGGUUCAAUCCCCAGCACCA